rnacentral:rRNA from 1 species
CUACGGUGAAUACGUUCCCGGACCUUGUACACACCGCCCGUCAAGCCACGGAAGCUGGGUGUACCUAAAGUCGAUAACCGUAAGGAGUCGCCUAGGGUAAAACUAGUAACUGGGGCU